rnacentral:rRNA from 1 species
UGGGGAAUAUUGGACAAUGGGCGCAAGCCUGAUCCAGCGACGCCGCGUGAGUGAUGAAGGCCUUCGGGUUGUAAAGCUCUGUGGGGAGGGACGAAAACGGUCAGGAACAAUACCCUGAUCCUUGACGGUACCUCCUUAGCAAGCACCGGCUAACUCUGUGCCAGCAGCCGCGGUAAGACAGAGGGUGCAAACGUUGCUCGGAAUUACUGGGCGUAAAGCGCGUGUAGGCGGACAAGCAAGUCAGGUGUGAAAUCCCUGGGCUCAACCCAGGAACUGCAUUUGAAACUGCAUGUCUAGAGUGUCGGAGAGGGAAGCGGAAUUCCUGGUGUAGAGGUGAAAUUCGUAGAUAUCAGGAGGAACACCGGUGGCGAAGGCGGCUUCCUGGACGAUUACUGACGCUGAGACGCGAAAGCGUGGGGAGCAAACAGG